rnacentral:rRNA from 1 species
GACGAACGCUGGCGGCGUGCUUAACACAUGCAAGUCGAACGAUGAAGCCCUUCGGGGUGGAUUAGUGGCGAACGGGUGAGUAACACGUGGGCAAUCUGCCCUUCACUCUGGGACAAGCCCUGGAAACGGGGUCUAAUACCGGAUACCACUCCGCAAGGCAUCUUGUGGGGUUGAAAGCUCCGGCGGUGAAGGAUGAGCCCGCGGCCUAUCAGCUUGUUGGUGAGGUAGUGGCUCACCAAGGCGACGACGGGUAGCCGGCCUGAGAGGGCGACCGGCCACACGGGGACUGAGACACGGCCCAGACUCCAACGGGAGGCAGCAGUGGGGAAUAUUGCACAAUGGGCGAAAGCCUGAUGCAGCGACGCCGCGUGAGGGAUGACGGCCUUCGGGUUGUAAACCUCUUUCAGCAGGGAAGAAGCGAAAGUGACGGUACCUGCAGAAGAAGCGCCGGCUAACUACGUGCCAGCCGCCGCCGUAAGAC